rnacentral:rRNA from 1 species
UACGUAGGUGGCAGGCGUUGUCCGGAAUUACUGGGCGUAAAGGGCGUGUAGGCGGCCAUUUAAGUCAGACGUGAAAGCCCAAGGCUUAACCAUGGGACUGCGUUUGAAACUGGAUGGCUUGAGGAUCGGAGAGGGCAGUGGAAUUCCCAGUGUAGCGGUGAAAUGCGUAGAUAUUGGGAGGAACACCAGUGGCGAAGGCGACUGCCUGGACGACACCUGACGCUGAGGCGCGAAAGCUAGGGGAGCAAACGGG